AGCAAGAGAGGAUGGGCAGAGGAACUUAUUCUUUAGCAUGUAGGAGAGCAGCAGACAGAGGGAUGCAAAUGUCAGGAACCUCCAUGGCUGGAAAUCACAUAGAAGGAAUGAAUUGGUGGUCACAAGUGAUGUGUGGUUCGCAGGAGUGGGGGCUUAUGGUGAAACUGGUAAAUUGGGGCAGACUGCACCUUUGGGGACAAAGGAUCUGGAAGUUCUGUGAGAGGAGCUGCGAGGACCUCAGCUAGCUGCUUUGUUCAUUCAGAAUCCAAAUUUUCAUCUUGUCCCAGGACUGUGGAACCCAUACAAGUCCCAGUGAAGAAUUAACACUGGUCUACAAUUUUUGAGAAGUCGUCUGCUUCAGAGAUAAAAUGUGC